rnacentral:rRNA from 1 species
GAUUAGGCAUGCAAGUCGAACGAUGAAGCGGUGCUUGCACCGUGGAUUAGUGGCGCAAGGGUGAGUAACACGUGAGUUAUCCGCCCGGAAGAUCGGGAUAGGCGCGGGAAACUGCGAUUAAUACCGAAUGGCAAUACAUUUAGUGUAUUUAAAGAAUUUUGCUUCCGGAUGAGCUCGCGUCCCAUUAGCUUGUUGGUAGGGUAACGGCCUACCGAGGCGAUGACGGGUAGGUGGUCUGAGAGGAUGGUCACCCACACUGGGACUGAGACACUGCCCAGACUUCUACGGAAGGCUGCAGUCGAGAAUCUUCCGCAAUGCGGGAAACCGUGACGGAGCGAUGCCGCGUGAGUGAUGAAGGCCUUCGGGUUGUAAAACUCUGUCACCCGGGAAUAUAGUGAAGGUACCGGGAGAGGAAGCCACGGCUAACUACGUGCCAGCAGCCGCGGUAAUACGUAGGUGGCGAGCGUUAUUCGGAAUUAUUGGGCGUAAAGGGUCCGCAGGGUGUUUCUUAAGUCUGCUGUGAAAUUUCGCAGCUCAACUUCGAAAGUGCAGUGGAAACUGAGAGACUUGAGUGCAGAAGAGGGAAGUGGAAUUCCUGGUGUAGCGGUGGAAUGCGUAGAUAUCAGGAAGAACACCGACGGCGAAGGCAGCUUUCUGGUCUGUUACUGACCCUGAGGGACGAAAGCGCGGGUAGCGAACAGGAUUAGAUACCCUGGUAGUCCGUGCCGUAAACGAUGUACACUUGAUGUUGGGAGAUUUGACCCUUUCAGUAUCGGAGUUAACGCGUUAAGUGUACCGCCUGGGGAAUACGAUCGCAAGGUUAAAACUCAAAGGAAUUGACGGGGGCCUGCACAAGCGGUGGAGCAUGUGGCUUAAUUCGAGGCAACGCGAAGAACCUUACCUGGGUUUGACAUAUACCGGACCGGGUGUGAAAGCACCCUUCUCUUCGGAGCCGGUUUACAGGUGCUGCAUGGCUGUCGUCAGCUCGUGUCGUGAGAUGUUCGGUUAAGUCCGGCAACGAGCGCAACCCGUGUCGUCAGUUGCUACCAGGUAAUGCUGGGCACUCUGGCGAGACUGCCCGUGUUAAGCGGGAGGAAGGCGCGGAUGACGUCAAGUCCGCAUGGUCCUUACACUCAGGGCUGCACACGUGCUACAAUGGGUGUUACAGAGGGCAGCGAGGUCGCGAGGCCGAGCGAAUCCCUAAAGACAUCCUCAGUUCGGAUUGGAGUCUGCAAUUCGACUCCAUGAAGUCGGAAUCGCUAGUAAAGGCGCAUCAGCAACGGCGCAUUGAAUACGUUCCCAGGCAUUGUACACACCGCCCGUCACAUCAUGGAAGCUGACUGCACC